UACGGAGGGUGCGAGCGUUGUCCGGAAUCACUGGGCGUAAAGGGCGCGUAGGCGGCGCGGUAAGCGUGCGGUGAAAGUCCGGGGCUCAACCCCGGAUCGGCCGUGCGGACUGCCGCGCUCGAGCACUGUAGGGGCGGGUGGAACUCCGGGAGUAGCGGUGGAAUGCGUAGAGAUCCGGAAGAACACCGGUGGCGAAGGCGGCCCGCUGGGCAGUGGCUGACGCUGAGGCGCGACAGCGUGGGGAGCAAACAGG
rnacentral:rRNA from 1 species